GAUGAACGCUGGCGGCGUGCUUAACACAUGCAAGUCGAACGGAAAGGCCCAAGCUUUCUUGGGUACUCGAGUGGCGAACGGGUGAGUAACACGUGGGUGACCUGCCCUUCACUUCGGGAUAAGCCUGGGAAACUGGGUCUAAUACCGGAUAGGACCACAUUUUGGAUGGUGUGGUGGAGAAAUUUUCGGUGUGGGGUGAGCUCGUGGCCUAUCAGCUUGUUGGUGGGGUUAUGGUCUACCAAGGCGUCGGCGGGUAGCCGGCCUGAGGGGGUGUACGGCCACAAUGGGACUGGGAUACGGCCCCGGCCCCGACGGGGAGGAGCAGGGGGGAAGAUUGCUCAAGGGGCGCGAGGCUGAUGCAGCGACGGCGCGGGGGGGAUGACGGCCUUCGGGUUGGAAACGCAUUUCGCUAGGGACGAAGCGGUAUGUGACGGUACCUGGAGAAGAAGCACCGGCUAACUACGUG
rnacentral:rRNA from 1 species